GAAAAACAUUCUCCACAAUUUCGAAGCGAAUAAAAACUAAAGAGAAACAAAUUCCAAUGAUACCACUGAAAUUUGGAGUGAACAAAGCAUGACUUUUCACACAAAUUAGCCUAUAACACUUCAAUUCCGCCACUACAAAUAAUUAAAUAAAUUAGCACAUAACUAUUUGAACCAAAAUAAAUCCCUUCUGUCAGUAAAAAAGAGUGGUAUAUCACCAAAC
rnacentral:misc_RNA from 1 species